GGAGCAAUCCGGGAGCCAGUAGAGGUGCUGCAUGGCUGUCGUCAGCUCGUGUCGUGAGAUGUUGGGUUAAGUCCCGCAACGAGCGCAACCCUUACCUUAGUUGCCAGCGGGUAAUGCCGGGCACUCUAAGGGGACCGCCCGGAUAACGGGGAGGAAGGCGGGGAUGACGUCAAGUCAGCAUGGCCUUUAUGUCCAGGGCUACACACGUGCUACAAUGGGCGAUACAGAGGGAAGCAAGGCCGCAAGGUAGAGCUAAUCCCUAAAGUCGUCCUCAGUUCGGAUUGCAGGCUGCAACUCGCCUGCAUGAAGUCGGAAUCGCUAGUAAUCGCGGAUCAGCUACGCCGUGGUGAAUACGUUCUCGGGCCUU
rnacentral:rRNA from 1 species